rnacentral:rRNA from 1 species
UACGGAAGGCAGCAGUGGGGAAUAUUGCACAAUGGGCGCAAGCCUGAUGCAGCCAUGCCGCGUGUAUGAAGAAGGGCCUUCGGGUUGUAAAGUACUUUCAGCGGGGAGGAAGGCGAUGCGGUUAAUAACCGCGUCGAUUGACGUUACCCGCAGAAGAAGCACCGGCUAACUCCGUGCCAGCAGCCGCGGUAAUACGGAGGGUGCAAGCGUUAAUCGGAAUUACUGGGCGUAAAGCGCACGCAGGCGGUCUGUUAAGUCAGAUGUGAAAUCCCCGGGCUUAACCUGGGAACUGCAUUUUGAAACUGGCAGGCUUGAGUCUUGGUAGAGGGGGUAGAAUUCCAGGUGUAGCGGUGAAAUGCGUAGAGAUCUGGAGGAAUACCGGUGGCGAAGGCGGCCCCUGGGACAAGACUGACGCUCAGGGUGCGAAAGCGUGGGGAGCAAACGAGGAUUAGGAUACC